AUGUCUGUCGAUGCAGACAACUUCCCAUCCAUCGAUGCCAAUUGCAUAUACUAUGUGAAGUCGACAGAUUGGACACAUGACAUCUACAAGUACGACCUCGAGGGCGAGAAAGAAGAGAGGGUUUCUGAAGCCAGACAUUCCUUGAACCCCAGCACCUGCACGUUGCCUGCCACAAUUCCUCCCUUCACCAUCCUUAAGCUUCUCUCCAGCUACACCAACAACAUCGAGACAAGUCAGCUCAUGAGGUGCGCGAGGACUCAAAGUGUUACACGAUCCGGGGUUAAAUCUGAGUAUGCAUAUGAAGCGUCGGACCCAGGAAGUUGCUGGUGCCUGAACAUGAUAGAAGUGGUGGAUUUUCAAAACUAUCCGCGCCGUCCGCGCAACGGUGCGGAAGUAGCUCGCCCAUGA
rnacentral:rRNA from 1 species